rnacentral:lncRNA from 1 species
AUGGGGACAAAAAUGUUACACCUGGAGGGUGUAGUAGUCAGGAUCUCCCUGUGCAGGCCACCCAGCUUGUUCACUUCAAGGAGACACCAUAUCUGGCCAACAGAAGGGGCAAUUGUGGAAGGUGUCGGUAAUGCCCAACCUGCAAUGGGAUGCAUGGGCACAGAGGCUGGACCCAAGGUCACCAACCCAGGAACAUUACCCUGGAGGACAAGCAUGGUGGAGGAGAAGAAAUCAAACCAACUAAAGACAAGGAAAAGAAAGCUCAAUUCACAUUCAAACAUCUGACAUAAGCACCUGCAGUCACAAAGUUGCUACCAGAUGCUUCAUCUGCUCAAUGGGCCCUUCACAGAAUUUUCCCUUGAGGGCAAAAGGACUUGGAAAAGCACUUUUCAUGUUGAACAUGAAAAAAAACACCUCAAAGCAAACAAAAGAAAACAGAACAAAUCCCACCCCCAUCCAAUUUAUUAUGCAGGAGCACCUGGAUUGGAUUGAGAUUUACCAACUCUGGAGCUACUUCCCCUUGUCACCAGCUUGUAACAAGGAAAAUGAAAAGUGAGUUCACCCGCCGAACCCCAACUCAAGGAGUCGGCUGGUAAUGUGAGCACAUCCCUGCAAGAUGCCCCUGGGUGGACCCCUGUCUAACCAAGUUGCCUGUUUUUAGACUCAGACACGCUGGCUCUAAAAGCCGCCACUCUGUAGUAAUUUCAUACAAAUGAAUUUAGUCUUCUGAAAACCAUCAUGAUACAGCCACUGGAUGAGUCCAGACUACCUCCUAACCUUGGAGCCAGCCUGUCUGGAAGGUGCCAGAAAAACCAGAGAAGUGGCCGCGUUGAAAUCUCUCAUGAAAUAUCUGGAAGCAGGUACUAAUGAGAAAACAGAAUUCCAGAUGAAGGUCUACAGGAAGAAAAGCCAAGCCAAGGCAACCAUGAGCAAAGAACUAUUUAAGGAUAGAUUUCCCUCUCACACUUUCCUCCCUGUGAUGUCCAAGGAAGACAGCAGCACGCCCCUCAGCGACCAGCUCGGACUGUCAUAAAAUAAACCAACACUCAGCAAGAGAGCA